AUUUUUCUGCAUAAGUCAGCUUCAGACCUCCAACUUUGAAAUCGUCUCCUGAACUCAUUUCUCCUCCAAAAAUUACGGAACCAGCAUCGAUACGACCGUAACUGAGUAAGAUUUCCACAGCAAAUCAGAACCAAUCCAAACGGAGUUACUGAGAGGGAGAACUUACCAUUUAAGUGCAGACCUCUUCCAAACAAAUUCUGCAUAAAACUCUGCAUCCUUGCUCCAACUUCAAACACGUUUUCAAAGCUCGUUACUAAACCAAAUGCUACCAAACGAAUGACUAAACUGAAGGAAAUUUCGUCUAGAUUCUGAAAAUUCAACAAUUGCUUAAAUCCGAGUUAUAGGGUGGAAAUUAUGACAGAAAUACCAGGUCCAUACGAAAAUUUCUUAAAUUACCUCCAAUACUUAGAAUAUUCCAACCCAAAACAAGAUUCACGAAUACAAGCCUCAAGAGUGAAAAAGAAUUCUGAAUUUGGGUAAAAACAAGACAUCAAUUAAAAGGAAAAUCUUAA
rnacentral:lncRNA from 1 species